rnacentral:tRNA from 1 species
GAGCGUGGCGGUGUGGCGGCACACCAGUUCCGUCGAGAACGGGACGAUGGGGGUCCAGCACUGGACCGCCGGGCUCUUCCCCGGCGCGUCCGCCA